CACAGGAUUUGUCUUCAUCUUGCUGCUCCACCAUCCCAGCAUCUCUGCACAAAACCUGUCCAACUGCUAUCUCUUGCUGCUCUGCACAUUACUCCAAAUCAUUCACAAAAAUGAGCACACAAACCUGCAUCAGUGAAAGCACGAAGAAGACUUACUAAAUAAGUUCAAAUCAGUUUCAAUUUUCCCUUCGGUCCCUCAAAACCUCACUCAAUCUCACUCAGCGAUACACACCCCAUACGAAUCUGAGUCACACACAAAACAACAAAUACAGCACAACCUGCAAAGAAACUCUCAACUUUCACCUCAACGUUCAACCACAACUCACCCUCAACAGCAAUAAUCGAACCUACAGCCUCACCAACAAACACACGAAACUUCACCUCCCUCAAACACAUCGCACCACACCACUCUACAGUAGUCACACACGAACUGCACACAAAACGCAUAGAAAUCCAGAAGCGAGAAGGACGACCAAGAAGAAAAGAGUCAAGGGCGCUUACCUGAAGGUGUUGAAUCCGCUCCAUCGAGGAUCGGGGAUUUAGGAUUUUUGUUGUUGCUCGGGAGGAGGCUUAAGAGUCGACAGAUCUUCAUAUCUUCAUUCGUUUCGGUUGUCCCUUAUUGCCUUGAUCAAUCUUGUCCAGCUGGAUGGGCAAAAGUAUCCGUCUGAACUCCGUGGAGCAGUUAAUCAUUUCCUUCAGAAUAACAAAUCACAUUCAAAGAAAGACGAUUCACUGUAUAAGAUUUUAUGCAAGAUGUUGGAUGGUAAUCUGGAUUCACCAUCUGAUAUCUCAGAGUCUAAAGUUUGGUUUGCCUUGUAUCAUCCAAAGGUAGUACCACCCAUUAACUUUCUAUUGAAUUUCAGUGUCUAUAAUCAUGAAGUGUGAAUGGUCAUCAAUUUUCUGUUAGUAUUUAUGAGCUUCAUUCUUAUUUGAUAUGGUAUAGGCUGAUGUUAGACGAACUACACUGUGUGAUAAUCAUGUUGCCUCCGAGUCGUGUUUUCUUUCUUUUUCAAGAAAUGCACAAACCCUAAAAACAUGUUGCCUUUAAAUUGUGUGUUUUCUCUCUCAAUGAAUUCCAUUUCGUUUCUCAUAGUUCUUGUAAUACCCUACCAAUAUGCGUCUAGAAUCAUAUCAGUAAAAUAUUAAUAACUGGUACUGAGUACAAACAAAAGCUAGGAAUAAUGAUAUAAAUUGCAUACAUUUAUAAAUCAUCUCGAAGAUGGAUACAACGAAUAUGUCUACACAGUAAUAAUAAUAUACGGCGGAAGAAAAGAUUAGGCACGGUCUUCACGACAUCCGAAACCAUGGAAUCAACUCCGAAUCGCAUCACACGAUUCGAAUCCUCAAUAAUAUGGACCGUAGGGAAACAUGGAUUCUCAUCGAAUUGCAUCGCACAAUUCAACUCAUCAAACCCAUGGAAUCAACUCCGAAUCGCAUCACACGAUUCGAAUCCUCAAUAAUAUGGACCGUAGGGAAACAUGGAUUCUCAUCGAAUUGCAUCGCACAAUUCAACUCAUCAAACCCAUGGAAUCAACUCCAAAUCGCAUCACACGAUUCGAAUCCUCAAUAAUGAGAACGAUAAGGGGAAGGUAUUGGUUCGCAUCCCCGGGAGUUCAUCCCCGAAGAAUACUCCUGAACUACAGAGCACCAAUCAAUCCCGAGCGUCACACCCGAGAAGGACCUUCAUAUAUGGCCUGGGAGCAUCCUUGGACAUCGCAUCACAAGGACAACCACAUAUAAGUAACAAGCAUCGCACCGGUUACUACCCUCAUGCCCAUUAUGUAACCCUUCGCCAUGGCACAGCCUUGUUAGUUGACCUCCGUUAAUCCUUCAUAAUAUACAUUCUAAGGAUUACCUCGCCAUUAUGGUUAUUGAGUAAACAUCCUCUUAACACUUAUGUUAAUUGUAUAACCUUUCAUCUCUUGGUCCAUAUAACUCAAUCUGUCAUUACAUGACUUAAUUAUCUUUAAUUAAUCAUGUAUUAUACUUAGGUUAGUUUAUAUAAACCCAAGAGUCAAUCAUACAUGUAACAUACUAAUAUUUCACCAAGUUUUACUUUAUUAAACAAGAUACAAAAUAUACAUUUGGAUUUUAGUAAUAUUUAGAAGUAUGAUAGAGUUAUGGAAGCUUAGGCAUCUCAUAGCCCUUUCUGUUAGCUUUCCAACGAUAUAAAAUUUGCGUCAAUCGGAUAUACGAUGCAAAAGUUAUGAAUUUAUGAAGUUUCGAAAAAGCUGCCCAAACAGUGAUGUAACGGGUUACAUGAAUCAUGUAACCGGUUACAUGGCCCAAAAAUUGCGUUUUCCCCCCUUUUUCACACAUGUAACCGGUUACAUCAACCAUGUAACCGGUUACAUCGCUUACAGACCCAAAAAUUCUGCAUUUUAGGAGUUCUAAACCAGACCCAAACCCCUCUAAUUGAUUCCCAGCAUCAUAAUUUAAUCCCAAACGAAUUUACAACAUGCAAUAGUGAUCUAAUGUACAUAUUACAUACAUAAAACACAAUCUCAUCAUUAAAUCAAACAUGCAUCAAGUUAGCUCACACUAAAACCCUUAACAUACAAAUUCUUCCCCAAAUUCUACCCAAGGUUUCUAAUCUAAUGGAACUCACCUUGAAUAGGGAAGAGAUUCUGAAUUCCAAGCUUAGAAGGAGAUGACGAUGAAGACCAAUUCUGACUUGGGAGAUGAAGGAGAAGAUGAUGCACUUGAUCAUGGUUCUUUCUCCAAAAUCACCUAACUCCUCAUACAUGCAUCCAUGGAGAAAUAAUUUGAUGCCUCUUCUUCCUUUCCCUUCCUUUCACGUUUUCUCUCUAUCUUUCCCCCAAAAUUCUGAUUUUGCUAAGGCAAGAAUGAGUCAUUUCCACCAAACUAGUCUUUAAGUUCCUAUUUAAGUAGUGGAAUGACCACACUACCCUUCAACCAUGACAUAAUUACCAAGGUGCCAUCUAGUUCAAUUCUAACCAAUCCUUAGAAUUUCUAACAACUUCUCUUAAUAACUAUUAACUAUCCAUAGGUCUCAUGCUUAGAGAAAUAAGGUUGUUACAGUUCUUUCGCUAGUCUUUUCUGUUAUCGAAGCUUUUAAUCACUAUAUUUUGGUUCAAACAUGGAGUCCCACUUCUUGUCGAGAUUUGCCUUGCAUUAUUCCCCCAGUGGAGAAUCAUUUUCAUCUACACGGAUUAUGGCCGAAGGAACUCCAUGACCCUUCUCAACCUGCAUAUCGUGGACCGGGAAACAUCGAUGGUCAACUUUCCAAGGGGCUCACGGCAAUGAGCACCUUGAAGAUACUCUCAACUUGAUAUGGUCUUUCGUGACUCCCUCGGGUUUCAGUGGUGUAGAUCAUGCUACAUAAAAUUAUUUCAAGUACUAAUGAGGAUUCUCUCCUGCAAAACCACUAAACUUUACCAACAAGUGUAUCUUGCUAGAUUUAAGCUCAAAUAGUACAGUCAGGUAGGUUAUUCUCAAUACACAAUGCUUGAUAAGUGACAUUAGGUAUAUCUAGCUCUAUUGUAGAUCUUUGAGGUUCAUCCAUAUUAUCCAUAUUAUGAUUAGUAAAUUCAGUAUUAGAAUCAAAUAAAAUAUGAUUGAACAACAACACAAUAUUCCAACAGUGACCCUUUUACUCAAAGCAAAGUGGAAAAUGAAAAAAAAAACGAUUAAAAUUAAAUAUAAAAUAGCAACAAAAAUUUCUAACAGUAUCCUUAUUACUAAAAUCUAAUUGGAAAAAAAAAUGUAAGUUUUUUUUUUUUUUGGAUUUUUUCAAAAAUACAACAAAUUCAAAAGUCAAUCUAAAGGAAGGAAUUUGAAAUUUUUAGAGUGAAAACAUCUAAGGGAGUCAUGUUCUUUGAUUUAUUUGUGAUUCUAUGGGAACAUUUUGGUUCUUUGAUUUAUUUGUGAUUCUAUGGGAACAUUUUGGUUCUUUGAUUUAUUUGUGAUUCUAUGGGAACAUUUUGGUUCUUUGAUUUAUUUGUGAUUCUAUGGGAACAUUUUGGAACAAUCUGAAUAAUUGCUCAAUGGUCACUUGCGUGAUUAUUUGGAAUAUUUACCUAUAUACUACAACCUUGUAAAUCAAUAAAAUAAAACAUGAAUGCUAAUAGGAUUUUAAAAUUGACAUUAUUGUUAGAGGAUCCCCAAUAAUGACGUUAAUUUGAUUUAUUGUCUCACACAAGUCUAAAAAGAACUAAUAAAAAUUGUAGUUUAUAGAAGUGACACUUGAGUUGUAUCGCAUAAACUCCUAAUUCAAUUGACUAAAUUUAUAAUGAAUAAAGUUAUAAAGUGGACUUUUCGAGUUUGCACGAUUUUAAGAAAAUUCGAUAAAAAUGUGUUUGAGUACAAAUCUAUUGAUCUGCUAAAUCGUCAACUCUGACCUAUCAGUUCUAUAAUUCAAUCUCUAAUUUCAAUUUUAUUCACUACUACAAAAAAAAAUACAUUUUAUGACAAGGUAAAUAAUAGGCACGCCACAUUUUAAAUUUAAAAAAAAUAAGUUACAUACUCCCUCAGUUGAACUGCCAACCUAGUAAAAAAGUAUACAGGGAACACGUCUUUGAAUCCAAACAACUGUAUUUUAGCAACUUUUAAUAUUUUAUAUUUUUGUUUAUGGCCUAUUACCUCAGGUGAGCUGACAAUCGAGGGAAAAAAUAUUAAUGGAACACGCCUUCAAAUUUUAGCACCUUUUAUUUUAUUUAUAUUUUAAUUUAUGACCUAUUACUUUGGUUGAGCUAUCAACCGAAGGGAAAAGUACUAGGGGACACACCUUCCAAUACCAGCAACUACAUUUUAGCAGGGCCGGUCCCGACUUUUUAGAGGCCCGGGACAAAUAAAUAAAUGGGCCCAUAAUAAAAAACACGUGUAUAAUUCGCCUCCAAAAUGAAGAAGAAUCUCGGAGACAAGAUAAAAAAUAUGAAGUCUUGAUUAUUUCGAACAAUAAAAAUAAUUUCAAUGUAGAUAAGUAGCCAUAUGCAAAUCAUUAAGAAUUCAAAAUCAAAAUAUAAUUAACUGAAUUAAGAAUGAGAAUCUUUAGAUUGCUUUAAGUGUUCCAUUUUCUAUGUAACAUCCACCCUCUCAAAUAAUUGCAAUUGACGUUUUCUCUGAAAAAUCAAAUCAUAUGGCUAAAAAAUGUAGGAGUAGGGGUAAACCAUGUCCUGACCAUAAUAGGCAGGUUUACUUGAUUGAUAAAUAAUUUAUGGUGAAUUCUUAUCAACCCAACUCAAAAAGUUGGGUAAAGUUACCUCCUUUGUAAAAUGCUUUGAAAAUAACAAACAUUUAUAGUAUUUUAAUAUUUUAAUAAAUAAUUAAAUGUAUUAAAUGAGAUGAAAUCAUGUGAUUGGUUGGAGGUACACUACCCAACUUUUUGUGAUG